GUGAGAUGGGUAGUGAUGUGUGCAUGGCUGUUUCCUUGCAACAAAGAAUUCCAUUUAGCAGACACGCGCCUCCCUAGGCAGUAUGAAAAGUCAACCAAAGAGGAUGACAAGAUAACAAACAGGCUUACCCUAAAAAGAUGCAAUGUGUGCUAUGAAACUCAAGUCACUGAUAUGGAAGAAUGCAGAGCCCCACGCGGAGCUUGCCAUAGAAGCUGUAUUGGAUCUGAGGAUGACAGCUCAGCUCUGAUGCCGCUGACAUUUCCAGGAGCCUCUUUCUACAGGUGCUCACAUCCACACGUCGCCUCAUUUAUGCUCCCACCAUCACCGGUGAAAUAGAUAUUACUAUUCCCUUUAAGAAAGUUGAAGCAGGUCAUCAGAGGUCAAGUGACUGCACUCUGUUUACGCAGCUGUGAGUUCCCUCUGGAGAGGAUGUUUUGAAGGACUACGAGUCAGAAAGAAGUGCUCGCCUCGGCGGGUGGAGGGAGCCACUUCUCCCCACCCCCUGCCACCUUUGGUAACCACGUUCUUCUCUCUGUUUCUACGUAUUUGAUUUUUUAAAAUUCCACAUAUAAGACACAUCAUGCAGCAUUUUUCCUUUUGGGUCUGGCUGACUUCACUUGGCUUAAUGUGUCUCCCCAUGCUUAGAGGAAUGUGUCUCACUGUGGGUUUCCAGGGUCUGCGAGGCCUUCGUUAAGCGUUUUGGCA
rnacentral:lncRNA from 10 species